rnacentral:rRNA from 1 species
AGCAGCCGCGGUAAUUCCAGCUCCAAUAGCGUAUAUUAAAGUUGCUGCAGUUAAAAAGCUCGUAGUUGAAUUUCGGGACCGAUAUAUCGGUCGUGCCUCGGUACGUACUGGUAUUUUCGGUUUCUCCCUUCUGAUGAACCUUGAUGUCAUUAAUUUGGUGUCUUGGGGAAUCAGGACUGUUACUUUGAAAAAAUUAGAGUGUUUAAGGCAGGCUCACGCUUGAAUACAUUAGCAUGGAAUAAUGAAAUAGGACGUUUGAUUCUAUUUUGUUGGUUUCUAGGAUCGACGUAAUGAUUAAUAGGGAUAGUUGGGGGCAUUAGUAUUCAAUUGUCAGAGGUGAAAUUCUUAGAUUUAUUGAAGACUAACUACUGCGAAAGCAUUUUGCCAAGGAUGUUUUCAUUAAUCAAGAACGAAAGUUAGGGGAUCGAAGACGAUCAGAUACCGUCGUAGUCUUAACCAUAAACUAUGCCGACUAGGGAUCGGAUGAUGUUAAUUUUUUAAUGACUCAUUCGGCGCCUUA